rnacentral:rRNA from 1 species
AGAGUUUGAUUAUGGCUCAGAUUGAACGCUGGCGGGAUGCUUUACAUGCAAGUCGAACGGCAACACGGACUUCGGUCUGGUGGCGAGUGGCGAAACGGGUGAGUAAUGUAUCAGGUGUGCCUAGUAGCGGGGGAUAACUACGCGAAAGCGUAGCUAAUACCGCAUACGCCCUUCCAGGGGGAAAAGCGGGGGACCUUCGGGCCUCGCACUAUUAACGGAAACGGCCGAUAUCGGAUUAGCUAGUUGGUGGGGUAACGGCUCACCAAGGCGACGAUCCGUAGCUGGUUUGAGAGGACGACCAGCCACACUGGGACUGAGACGGCCCAGACUCCUACGGGAGGCAGCAGUGGGGGAAUUUUUGGACAAUGGAAACCCUGAUCCAGCCAUCCCGCGUGUGCGAUGAAGGCCUUCGGGUUGUAAAGCACUUUGGCAGGAAAGAAACGGCACGGGAUAAUACCCCGUGCAACUGACAGUACCUGCAAGAAUAAGCACCGGCUAACUACGUGCCAGCAGCCGCGGUAAUACGUAAGUGCAAGCGUUAAUCGGAAUUACUGGGCGUAAAGCGUGCGCAGGCGGUUCGGAAAGAAGAUGUGAAAUCCCAGAGCUUAACUUUGGAACUGCAUUUUUAACUACCGAGCUAGAGUGUGUCAGAGGGAGGUGGAAUUCCGCGUGUAGCAGUGAAAUGCGUAGAUAUGCGGAGGAACACCGAUGGCGAAGGCAGCCUCCUGGGAUAACACUGACGCUCAUGCGAAAGCGUGGGGAGCAAACAGGAUUAGAUACCCUGGUAGUCCACGCCCUAAACGAUGUCAACUAGCUGUUGGGGCCUUCGGGCCUUGGUAGCGCAACUAACGCGUGAAGUUGACCGCCUGGGAAGUACGGUCGCAAGAUUAAAACUCAAAGGAAUUGACGGGGACCCGCACAAGCGGUGGAUGAUGUGGAUUAAUUCGAUGCAACGCGAAAAACCUUACCUACCCUUGACAUGUCUGGAAUCGAAGAGAUUUGGGAGUGCUCGCAAGAGAACCGGAACACAGGUGCUGCAUGGCUGUCGUCAGCUCGUGUCGUGAGAUGUUGGGUUAAGUCCGCAACGAGCGCAACCCUUGUCAUUAGUUGCUACGAGGGCACUCUAAUGAGACUGCCGGUGACAAACCGGAGAGAGGUGGGGAUGACGUCAAGUCCUCAUGGCCCUUAUGGGUAGGACUUCACGUCAUACAAUGGUCGGGACAGAGGGGUCGCCAACCCGCGGGGAGCCAAUCCCAGGAAACCCGAUCGUAGUCCGGAUCAUGAUCUGCCCGCUCGACUGCGUGAAGUCAGAAUCGCUAGUAAUCGCGGAUCAGCAUGUCGCGGUGAAUACGUUCCCGGAGUCUUGUACACACCGCCCGUCACACCAUGGGAGUGGGUUUACCAGAAGUAGUUAGCCUAACCGUAAGGAGGGCGAUUACCACGGUAGGAUUCAUGACUGGGGUGAAGUCGUAACAAGGUAG